CCUACACGACCGUACCGCAAACCGACACUGGUGCGCGAGAUGAGUAUUCUAAGGCGCUUGAGAGAACUCAGGAGAAGGAACUCGGCAAAUUGACACCGUAACUUCGGAAGAAGGUGUGCCUUUAGUAGGUGAAGUCCCUCGCGGAUGGAGCCCAAUGAGGUUGCAAAAAAUCGGUGGCUGCGACUGUUUAUUAAAAACACAGCACUCUGCAAACACGAAAGUGGACGUAUAGGGUGUGACGCCUGCCCGGUGCUGGAAGAUUAAAUGAUGGGGUGCAAGCUCUUGAUUGAAGUCCCAGUAAACGGCGGCCGUAACAAUAACGGUCCUAAGGUAGCGAAAUUCCUUGUCGGGUAAGUUCCGACCUGCACGAAUGGCGUAACGAUGGCCACACUGUCUCCUCCUGAGACUCAGCGAAGUUGAAAUGUUUGUGAUGAUGCAAUCUCCCCGCGGAAAGACGGAAAGACCCUAUGAACCUUUACUGUAGCUUUGUAUUGGACUUUGAACAGAUCUGUGUAGGAUAGGUGGGAGGCUUUGAAGCAGGGUCGCUAGAUCUUGUGGAGCCAACGUUGAAAUACCACCCUGGUGUGUUUGAGGUUCUAACCUAGGCCCGUAAUCCGGGUUGGGGACAGUGCAUGGUAGGCAGUUUGACUGGGGCGGUCUCCUCCCAAAGUGUAACGGAGGAGUUCGAAGGUACGCUAGUUACGGUCGGACAUCGUGACGAUAGUGCAAUGGCAUAAGCGUGCUUAACUGCUAGACUGACAAGUCGAGCAGAUGCGAAAGCAGGACAUAGUGAUCCGGUGGUUCUGUAUGGAAGGGCCAUCGCUCAACGGAUAAAAGGUACUCUGGGGAUAACAGGCUGAUACCGCCCAAGAGUUCAUAUCGACGGCGGUGUUUGGCACCUCGAUGUCGGCUCAUCUCAUCCUGGGGCUGUAGCCGGUCCCAAGGGUAUGGCUGUUCGCCAUUUAAAGAGGUACGUGAGCUGGGUUUAAAACGUCGUGAGACAGUUUGGUCCCUAUCUUCCGUGGGCGCUGCAGAUUUGAGGAAGCCUGCUCCUAGUACGAGAGGACCGGAGUGGACGCACCUCUGGUGUAUCGGUUGUCACGCCAGUGGCAUUGCCGAGUAGCUAUGUGCGGAAGAGAUAACCGCUGAAAGCAUCUAAGCGGGAAACUCGUUUCAAGAUGAGAUCUGCCGGGGCCUUGAGCCCCCUGAAGAGUCGUUCAAGACCAGGACGUUGAUAGGUCGGGUGUGGAAGCGCAGUAAUGCGUUAAGCUAACCGAUACUAAUUGCUCGUGCGGCUUGAC
rnacentral:rRNA from 1 species